GAAAGGGAAACGCGUCAUGUAUUAUAGAAGCUAUCUUUAUUUACAAUAUCAGUGUUUCAACUCAGACUGGUGACCUCGGUGUUAUUUGCACUAAUUAGCCUACCUUUAUAUUCUAAUGAACAACGGACGUCGCAGCUGUUAAGUUCAAUUAAAGUCGUUAACUUCUUUACCUGGCGCAUCUACGUAUGGCAGCAUGUGCUGACAGAUUUGGUGAGAGUGGCUGCAGAUGACAGCUCUUGCCUGGAUCUUCCCCAUCCUUUUCAGCUCAGCUAUGCUCCCAUGCAGGCCGGGCCAAGAGAGAAGCAGUGAAUGCACCUCCUCGCAGUAAAAAAGGUGAUGGAAUCCCGACCACCAUGCAUCAUACUGUAAGUGCCUGUCACCUCUUCGUGGUGGUGGCCCUCUGCUGAGCACAAAGUGCCUGAGCUGAAGACUUCUGCUUGGCCUUAUUUUGCUUGUUUACCCCUCAGCUAAGGUUGAUGAUUUACUAUGUGGUGGGUACUGACUGAUUUGAUUUGCUUAUAAUCAAUCUGUGUGUAUUUAAUACCUUGAUAUAUUGCCACACUGUGCGCUGUCCUCCGUUCUUUAUCUUAACUGUGGAAGGGAGGCCUCCACACAGCUGCACCUUCUUCCGGGGAAAUCAACGCACCUGAUUGCCCCCCUUUUUUUGACCUUGGUUGUCCGUUGGUUCCCCUACUUGCCUUAAAUGUAAGUCCUGUUUUUCCCUCUAAGUUUUUAACCAUGUAACUGUCCAAAUAAAGGAAAGAAAGACAGUAUUUGAAAUGUUAUUGGUGAGCCCAGGACAUAGACAUACUGUAUAAUCUCUUGCCCAUUCUGAUUUUUUUUUUUAGAACAUUGUGACAUAUCUCUCGU